CGACAGAUCUCCCUCAUUCUAUUUUCUUUUAUUUAUUUUUUGAAUAUUCUCUUCUCUGCCUCUUCUUCCUCAUGUUAUAUUUUUCAGAUUUGGUAACUGGAGUUUAAGAAGAUGAAGACUCGCUGGUGACGAAGACCCGGAGGCUCACCGGAGACGAACCCACGGCGGAGCUCAAGGUCGCCGUUACGCCAUCAUCUCACCUAUGCUCAAGCUCAACGUCACACCAUCUUCUCAAUCUCGCCGUCACACCAUCUGCUCGAUCUCGCCGUCAAUUUAACCUAACAGAGAGGAGGAAUAUUAUUCCCAAACCUUCAUUAUUCCUUUUCAUUGCUUGCUCCUUUAAUAUGCCGACUCAUGGAUCUGAUGGGUUUGUGAUGAUCUGAGAAGGUGGUGGUGUUAUAAUCGAAGGUGGUGGUGUUAUAAUCGAAGGUGGUGGUCUGAUGAGUCGGUGUUGGUGGCGUGACGAAUCAGUGGUCUCCUUCUCAUCAGUGGCGGAGCAUGGAGGAGGCAGAAAAGCUAUGCCUCUAGUUCAGACCAGUCUUCAUUCUGGUGGUGAAGGCGGUCUAGCAGUCCAGUGUCCUCUCCGGUCGUCUUCGCAGCUGCAACGGUGGUGUUCUCAGUCGCCAUCAAUGAGUUAGAGGAAGAAGAUGAAGCUUGAAGUGUAAAGUUCAUGAAACAUCAGUUAAGUUUUUCUUCCAACUACAUAGGGGUAUAGCUUUUGAUGCAAACAUUACUAACACAUAUCAGGUUGGCUUACGCUGGAUCACGUUCUAUACAGCUUAAAUCUUCUAAUGUCGGAUCACGUCCAGGGUCGUGCUUACCCAUAUGAAAAAGAGGCAAUGGCAGGCCCCAUAUUUAAACAUUAAAACUUAUGUUUUAGCUUAUGUUUUAUAGAAGUUUUUUGUUAGAAUAAUUUGUAAUUAUUAUACAUAAGUUCCAUACGUAUACUUUCUUUUUCUGUCUUACCAUUUGAGAAGCAAAAAACUCUUCUUUAUUCUGUCA